rnacentral:rRNA from 1 species
AUUGAACGCUGGCGGCAUGCCUUACACAUGCAAGUCGAACGGCAGCACGGACUUCGGUCUGGUGGCGAGUGGCGAACGGGUGAGUAAUGUAUCGGAACGUACCUUUCAGUGGGGGAUAACGUAGCGAAAGUUACGCUAAUACCGCAUAUUCUGUGAGCAGGAAAGCAGGGGAUCGCAAGACCUUGCGCUGAUUGAGCGGCCGAUAUCAGAUUAGCUAGUUGGUGGGGUAAAGGCCUACCAAGGCUACGAUCUGUAGCGGGUCUGAGAGGAUGAUCCGCCACACUGGAACUGAGACACGGUCCAGACUCCUACGGGAGGCAGCAGUGGGGAAUUUUGGACAAUGGGGGCAACCCUGAUCCAGCCAUGCCGCGUGAGUGAAGAAGGCCUUCGGGUUGUAAG